rnacentral:rRNA from 1 species
UUUAAUUAAAACCGUACUCUAAACCGACACAGGUGAACUGAUUUAGUAAAUUAAGAUGAUUGAGUUAAUUAUAUUGAAGGAACUCGGCAAAAUGACUCCGUAACUUCGGGAUAAGGAGUGACUAUAUUUGGGAAACCUUUUAUAGUUGUCACAAAAUCGAGGACAGCGACUGUUUAUUAAAAACACAGGUCUCUGCGAAUUCGUAAGAAAAUGUAUAGAGACUGACGCCUGCCCAGUGCUGCAAGAUUAAUAGAAAAAGUAUUUGCUUUGACUAGAAACCCCAGUAAACGGCGGCUGUAAUUCUGACGGUCCAAAGGUAGCGAAAUUCCUUGGCAUUUAAUUGGUGUCCUGCAUGAAUGGCGUAACGACUGUCCUACUGUCUCCAAUGUAAUCUCAGUGAAAUUGAAUUCUCCGUGAAGAUGCGGAGUACCUACGGCUAGACGGAAAGACCCCGUGCACCUUUACUAUAGUUAGGCAUUGUAACAAUGAAUUUUUUGUGUAGAAUAAGUGGAAAGUUUUUUUUAAAGUUUUUACGCCAGUAAUUUACUUAAAACGACAGUUGAAAUACCACUCUAAAAAUUUUUUUGUUACUCAUUUUUAAAUAAAGACAUUGUUUAAUGGGUAGUUUGACUGGGGCGGUCGCCUCCUAAAGAGUAACGGAGGCGCACUAAGGUAAGUUCAAAUUGAUAAAUAUCAAUUUUAGAGCGUAAUAGUAUAUGCUUGCUUGACUGUAAGAUUGACAAAUCGAACAGGGACGAAAGUCGGUUAUAGUGAUCCGGUGAUUCUGUGUGGAAACGAUCAUCGCUCAACGGAUAAAAGGUACGCCGGGGAUAACAGGCUAAUCACCCUCUAGAGACCCUAUCGACGGGGUGGUUUGGCACCUCGAUGUUGGAUUAUCACAUCCUGAAGCUGAAGAAGGUUUCAAGGGUUUGGCUGUUCGCCAAUUAACGUGGUACAUGAUCUGAGUUUAGAACGUCGUGAGACAGUUUGGUCCCUAUCUACCGUAGGCAUUAUAAAAAGUGAAAGGAUUAAACCCUAGUACGAGAGGACCGGGAAAAGUAAACCUCUGGUGAAUCGGUUGUUAUACCAUUAGCAUAGCCGAGUAGCUAAGUUUAUAAUAGAUAAUCAUUAAAAGCAUUAAGUGAGAAACUAGCCUUAAGAUACUUUUUAAUUAAAACGUUAAAGAUGAUAACGUAAUAGGUUUGAUGUGUAAGAAUUGUAAAA